UUUAAUUCGUUGAUGGGAACGAGUACGUCAUGAUUUGUCCCUCAGAGAGUUGGCCUUCCGGUGCAAGCCAACGUUCAGAACAUGACUGAAGAUCCUCCCAGAGAAGUGAGCUGAAGCGCUUAAAUUUAUGGCGUGUGUAAGCAAUCACCGUUUGCCAUGCGUUAUAAUGGCGCCCUGCUGAAGUUGAGUAGGGCUCAGAGAGUCGUGACAAGAUCGUCUUCUUUAGACUGGUCUAAUUACGGAAUCAGGGUGGUAACGCGAGCACAGUCUCGUCCCUUUU
rnacentral:ncRNA from 1 species